rnacentral:rRNA from 1 species
AGAGUUUGAUCCUGGCUCAGAGCGAACGCUGGCGGCGUGCCUAACACAUGCAAGUCGAGUGCGCGGUAGCAAUACUGGCGCACGGCGCACGGGUGCGUAACACGUGGGCAACCUGCCCUUCAGAGGGGGAUAACCCCGCGAAAGCGGGGCUAAUACCGCAUGACAUCGCGAUGACCUCGGUUGUUGCGAUCAAAGCCGCA